rnacentral:tRNA from 1 species
GAAAUAUUAGUCUAACACAAGACAGCUGAUUUCGACUCAGCAGAUUACAAUGUAACUUCGUAAUAUUUC